rnacentral:lncRNA from 1 species
CCCCGUGAGGCGCGGGGAGAAGAGGCAGCGGGCGGAGGGGAGCAGCGGGUGGUCCGAGGCGGCGCAGCCCAGGGUGGGCGCCUGACCCACGUUCUCUGGCUCUUGUCGACGGCGCAAGCUAACGCAAACACACAUGGUCGGACGCAUGCACAGCACGCCUAGAAGCGGAUCAAGAAGUAAUUAUAGAACAAGCUUUCCAGCGCCUCACUCAGUCACACCUCCUUCAAGAGCUGUGAAAUGGAAAGAAAACAGUUACUCCAGCUGCGACGUCUGAAGGGGCCCCGCACUUCGUCCCUGGUCAUAAGACACCGCAAGAGUUUAGUUAAGUGGCUUGAUACCAAGGAAGAGGUGGGCCCUGCACUCCUAAAAUCCCAAGCUCCGGCCCCUUACAGUCUCAUCUGAGAAACACAUCUUCAACGGCAGGCCAAAUUCCUCCUGCGAGCAACAUUCUGUAGCUGCAGCUGAUGGCAAGAUGUCACCAGCGGCUGAUGGCAAAAUGUCACCAGAGUCGCGGGUUAACCACCCCAUCCGCUAUCCAAGGCCCUCUCCCCGCUACCCUUUCAACCUUGUCCCAGAGGCUUUUAUGUUGGGGUAUGGCAACAAACUCUGUGGCUUUGUGUACCCACCCACAUUAAAGGCUAAAAUGUGAAAUAAACCAGUGCCCUUAUCCGCACAUGUCAGUCAUCUAAUUUGACCCCCUCUUCCAGCCAGAACUUAAUUGACCAGGUAUUUGACAGAAUUUUAUGAUCCUCAGCCAGUUCAGACUCUGAGAUGAACCUCUUGUCUACAGAGGUUUAGGUGUUUGCAGGAAUGCAAGGAGAAAUAGAAAGGUAAUCUCAAGGUAGCAAGUUUUCUAGGAUGGGCCACGUAAUUAGAAAGACACACAACCUUACAAUAAACAUAAUAAAAGGCUGACUUCUAGGGAGAUCACUAGAACGAAACAGCCAUUUGAGUCAGAAAGAAAAAGCAUUUCCAAUAUGCACCAUGUCUUUCUGCAUGGUUUAAAUCAGACUUGAAUGUCACUUCUAUAAAAUCAAACUUUGCAAGACUGUAAUUACAGGUAACCAUGUACUUUUAAAAUCUUUCCCCUC